rnacentral:rRNA from 1 species
CUGAAGCACCUUCGGGUGUGGAUGAGUGGCGAACGGGUGAGUAACACGUGGGUAACCUGCCCUGCACUUUGGGAUAAGCCUUGGAAACGGGGUCUAAUACCGGAUAGGACUGCAUCUCGCAUGGGGUGUGGUGGAAAGUGUUUAGUGGUGUGGGAUGGGCCCGCGGCCUAUCAGUUUGAUGGUGGGGUGAUGGCCUACCAUGGCGAUGACGGGUAGCCGGCCUGAGAGGGCGACCGGUCACACUGGGACUGAGAUACGGCCCAGACUCCUACGGGAGGCAGCAGUGGGGAAUAUUGCACAAUGGGCGAAAGCCUGAUGCAGCAACGCCGCGUGAGGGAUGACGGCCUUCGGGUUGUAAACCUCUUUCGACACCGACGAAGCGCAAGUGACGGUAGGUGUAGAAGAAGCACCGGCUAACUACGUGCCAGCAGCCGCGGUAAUACGUAGGGUGCGAGCGUUGUCCGGAAUUAUUGGGCGUAAAGAGCUCGUAGGCGGUUUGUCGCGUCUAUCGUGAAAACUGGAGGCUUAACUUUCAGCGUGCGGUGGAUACGGGCUGACUUGAGUGUGGCAGGGGAGACUGGAAUUCCUGGUGUAGCGGUGAAAUGCGCAGAUAUCAGGAGGAACACCGGUGGCGAAGGCGGGUCUCUGGGCCAUUACUGACGCUGAGGAGCGAAAGCGUGGGGAGCGAACAGGAUUAGAUACCCUGGUAGUCCACGCUGUAAACGUUGGGCGCUAGGUGUGGGGUGCGUUUUCGUGUUCCGUGCCGUAGCUAACGCAUUAAGCGCCCCGCCUGGGGAGUACGGCCGCAAGGCUAAAACUCAAAGGAAUUGACGGGGGCCCGCACAAGCGGCGGAGCAUGUGGAUUAAUUCGAUGCAACGCGAAGAACCUUACCUGGGUUUGACAUGCACAGGAUUGCUGCAGAGAUGUGGUUUCCU